rnacentral:lncRNA from 13 species
GGAAGACUGCAGGAGGGUGUGGACCUGAGCGAAAAAGAGAGAAAAAAGAGAGAGAGGCUGAGAGCCAAAGGAAACCAGGAGAAAAAGGUAGAAGAAAAGGAAGAGAAACUCUGGCUGAACAUCGGGCGUGACAACAGAGACAGAGAGAGAGUCACACGCUCGCUCGGCAGGAGUGUGUGCAGAUUGCCCUCUGUGUGCGUUUCACGUGUGUGUUGAGCAGGUGGGACUUUGAUGGGACAGUGAGCAAUGCCUCACACUCAGCAACAUCAGGUUGGCAGUAGGGGGCGACGCCCCCAUCUCCUCCUCCACCCUAUCCUCCUCCUCCCUCUCUUCUCUCUCCUCCUAUCCCACGCCCCCCAGCUCAGCCAAGGAGCCAUACACAUACCUUCUAACUACCAAAUAAAUGAAUUUAAGAAACCCCCAGUGAUCACCACCCAGCCUGAGUCCAUCACUGUGUUUGGUGCUGAAGACAUCCUCCUGACCUGCGAAGCAUCAGGGAACCCUCCUCCCGAUUUCCGCUGGACUAAAGAUGGGGAAGAAUUUAUCCCUGCCAAUGACCCGGGCCUGUCGGUGUCUCCGGGUUCUGGAACCUUCAUGAAAACCGGGGUGGUGUCAGGCCCCAUUAGCCAAUACAAGGGCAAAUACAGCUGCUACGCUGAAAACGCAUUAGGAACUGCUGUGUCUAACGAGGUCCAGCUCAUCACUGAGAAUACCCCAGCCCUGCAGAAAGAGCAGAAGGUGAAGAAGAAGGUGGAGGAAGGAGAGAGUGUGGUACUGAAAUGUAACCCUCCCUUCAGCACUGUUCCUCCUGUCAUCCACUGGAUGGACGAGCGUGAGUAUCUCUCUCUCUCUGUUUUACUCAUCCUUUAUCUCCGAAGGCCCCAGAUGAUGAGGCCCUCGGGGAGCCACAGCACUUACCACGCCCUCCGGGGCCAGAGCCUGGAGCUAGAGUGCAUCGUCCAGGGCCUCCCUACCCCUACAGUCCAGUGGGUGAGGAAGGACGGUCAGCUGUCCGAGUCCCGUACGUCCAGACAUCUGUUUGACCGUCUGCUGCGCAUCAGUAACAUCUCAGAUAGCGACGGGGGAGAGUACCAGUGUUCAGUCAACAACUCACAGGGCAAGGUCACACACACCUACACCGUUAGCGUCGAAGCGGCUCCAUACUGGACCAAGGAGCCAGUAAGCCAGCUCUAUGCCCCAGGAGAGACGGUGAGACUGGACUGUCAGGCUGAUGGCAUCCCGUCUCCUGCUGUCGCCUGGAGCAUCAACGGAAAACCCAUCACAGGCAUAGACCCAACCCCUAGGCGUACUGUGAGAGAUGGAGCUCUGAUUCUGAGAGAUGUGGUCUUCACUGAUACAGCAGUCUACCAGUGUCAGGCCCACAACAAACACGGAACCAUCCUAGUCAAUACCUACAUCUUCGUCAUCGAACUGCCUCCUCAGAUCCUGAAUGCUGACGGACAGAAGUACAACUUCACAGAGGGACAGAAGGCUGUACUGCAGUGUCAGACCUUCGGCUCUCCCAGACCUAAAGUAACAUGGGAGAGGAACAGCAGCGCUUCUCUACUGGCUGAGCCCAGGGUUAACCUGCUGACCAAUGGAAACCUCCAGAUCACCAACGUCUCCCACGGCGACGAGGGCCUGUACACCUGCUCCGUUAGCAACACCAACCUGUCAAUCAACGCUGACCUGGAUGUGCUGAACAGGACAGUGAUCCUGUCUCCUCCUGGGUCUCUGCUUGUUCAGCCUGGUAAGACGGCCAUCUUUACCUGCCUGGCACAGGUGGACCCCAAACUGACCCCUCCGCACAUUCAGUGGAAGAGGAGCGGACAGGAACUCUUUCAGUCAUACGCCGAGGACAAGUACACAUUUGAGGGCCCAGACCUGAUUGUGGCCAAUGUGCAGACAGAAGACGAGGGUGUUUACACCUGUGAGGUCAUCACCAACCUGGACAGGGUUGAGGCCAGCGGGUCCAUCAUUAUAGUCGACCGACCAGACCCCCCCACCCAGCUCCAGGUCUCUGACCCUAAGGACCGCAAUGUCACCCUGAGUUGGACCGCAGGAGAUGACCACAACAGCCCUGUCAUAGGUAUGUUUGUGGUGGAGUUUGAAGAUGGUGACUCGAAGGAGCGGGGUUGGGAGGAGCUGAAGAGAGUCAGUGGAACUCAUGAGAGCGUGACCAUUUCUCUGCAACCAUACGUGUCCUACCGCUUCCGGGUCAUCUCCAUCAACAACAUCGGGAAGAGUGACCCCAGCAUGCCCUCUGACCUUCACAGCACCCCACCUCAAGCUCCAGACAAUAACCCAGAGAAUGUGAGGAGUGAGUCUACAGACCCAGACACCCUGGUCAUCACAUGGGAGGUGAGGCUUUCGACCUUUCCUCUCUAUGCCCCUAUAGUCGUGAAGAGUGACGACAGCCCGAUGCAUGUGGAGACCAUAGACGACCACACUGAUAGACAGACACACACACACACACACACAAAUAAACACACUGACAGCCCGAUGCAGGUGGAGACGAUAGACGAUCACAAGGUCACUCACCUGACCCUGAAGCAGUUGGACCCUCACAGCCGCUACCGCUUCUACCUGAGGGGGCGCACCUCGGCCGGGGACGGAGAGCCUAUCACCAGGGAGGGGGCUACCACACUGGACGGAGGUACUCCUCCGUCCAACAUCAGCUUGUAUGUAGGAGAGAAGUCUGUUAACCUGAGCUGGGUGCCAGGCCAGAGACAGAGGAGUGUGAGCUUCCAGGUCCAGUACCUCAACAAGCAAGACGGUGGGAAGUGGAAGCAGUCUGAGAAGCUGAACUCGUCUGCAUCAUUCUACCAGCUGAAAGGUCUGACCCCGGGGUCACAGUACCGCCUCAGAUUCACCUUCAGCAACAACACCUUCUGGGAGACUGAGAUCACCACAAAGGGAGCAGGUACCGGAGGCAUCAAAGAUAAGGAGGAGGGUCAGGUAGACUCUGAGGCGCGCCCUAUGAAGGAUGAAACAUUCGGAGAGUACAGUGACAACGAGGAGAAGCGGACAGCCAGCCAGCCGUCUCUGUGUGAUGAGAGCAAACUGUGUAUCAGUGAUGACAACCUGGAUGGCUAUAACAACGGUAGCAUUGCUGUUACUGAGGUGACCAUGGAAGACUCCCUGGUCAGCCAGUACAGCCGACCCAGCGAAGCCACCCCGGACCCGGGCACACUGCAGGACAGCUCCCCCCUCAAUCCCAACACCACCACCAAUGGCCUGCCCAACUCGGCCGCCAUUUUAGAUUAG